rnacentral:rRNA from 1 species
GAUGAACGCUGGCGGCGUGCUUAACACAUGCAAGUCGAACGAAGCACUUUAUUUGAUUUCCUUCGGGACUGAUUAUUUUGUGACUGAGUGGCGGACGGGUGAGUAACUCGUGGGUAACCUGCCUUGUACAGGGGGAUAACAGUUGGAAACGGCUGCUAAUACCGCAUAAGCGCACGGCAUCGCAUGAUGCAGUGUGAAAAAGUCCGGUGGUAUAAGAUGGACCCGCGUUGGUUUAGCUAGUUGGUGAGGUAACGGCCCACCAAGGCGACGAUCCAUAGCCGACCUGGGAGGGUGACAGACCACAUUGGGACUGAGACACGGCCCAAACUCGUACGGGAGGGAGCAGAGGGGAAUAUUGCACAAUGGGCGAAAGCCUGAUGCCGCGACGCCGCGUGAGCGAAGAAGUAUUUCGGUAUGUAAAGCUGUAUCAGCAGGGAAGAUAAUGACGGUAACUGACUAAGAAGCACCGGCUAACUACGUG